rnacentral:tRNA from 1 species
GGUGAGAUGGCCGAGCGGUCUAAGGCACUACGUUAAGGAGUUCCUUGAUAACAUCAGCAUCUUUCGAGAUCUUGAUUCCGUAGUCCGAAAGCGUGUGGGUUCGAAUCCCACUCUCAUCA